UACGAAGGGGGGCUAGCGUUGCUCGGAAUCACUGGGCGUAAAGGGUGCGUAGGCGGGUUCUUAAGUCAGGGGUGAAAUCCUGGAGCUCAACUCCAGAACUGCCUUUGAUACUGAGAGUCUUGAGUACGGGAGAGGUGAGUGGAACUGCGAGUGUAGAGGUGAAAUUCGUAGAUAUUCGCAAGAACACCAGUGGCGAAGGCGGCUCACUGGCCCGGUACCGACGCUGAGGUGCGAAAGCGUGGGGAGCAAACAGG
rnacentral:rRNA from 1 species